rnacentral:rRNA from 1 species
UACAGAGGGUGCAAGCGUUGUUCGGAAUUAUUGGGCGUAAAGGGCGCGUAGGCGGUGCGGUAAGUCUGCAGUGAAAUCUCUGGGCUCAACUCAGAGUCUGCUGUAGAAACUGCCGUGCUUGAGUGUGGGAGAGGUGAGUGGAAUUCCUGGUGUAGCGGUGAAAUGCGUAGAUAUCAGGAGGAACACCUGUGGCGAAAGCGGCGCACUGGACCACAACUGACGCUGAGGCGCGAAAGCUAGGGGAGCAAACAGG